rnacentral:rRNA from 1 species
GAUGAACGCUGGCGGCGUGCCUAAUACAUGCAAGUCGAGCGGACGGACGAGGCGCUUGCUUCUCUGAUGUUAGCGGAGGGCGGGUGAGUAACACGUGUAUAACCCCCCUAUCAGACGGGGAUAACUUCGGGAAACCGGAGCUAACACCGGAUAAUAUUUUGCACCGCGGGGUUCAAAAGUGAAAGACGGUCUUGCUGUCUCUUAUCGAUGGAUCCGCGCUGCAUUAGAUAGUUGGUAAGGUCACGGCUUACCAAGGCAACGAUGCAUAGCCGAACUGUGAGGGUGAUCGGCGACACGGGAACUGGGACAGGGUCCAGACUCCUACGGGAGGCAGCAGUAGGGAAUCGGACGCAAUGGGCGAGAGCCUGACGGAGCGACGCCGAGUGAGUGAUGAAGGUCUUCGGAGCGUAAAACUCUGUUAUGAGGGAAGAACCGAUGUGUAAGUAACUGUACAGAUCGUGACGGUACCUGAUAAGAAAGCCACGGCUAACUACGUG